GUGGCUCCAAAUUACCCUGUCCUAAGGCCAAGUCUCAGCAGUAGUACCUCAAACUGAGAGAAAAUAGAGCACAAUCAAUUGGGCCGAACUAACAGCACCUAAGGCAUUAGUUUCACUAGCAGUAAAUCAGCAGAGAAGCAGAGAGAGCACUAACAUGCUCACCA